CUGAGAGCCCCACCAAAGGACAUGGAACUGUUGCAGCAAGUCCAGGGGAGGGCCAUGAAGUUGAUAAGAGCACUGGAGCACCCUACCUAUGAAGACAAGCUGAGAAAGUUGGGGCUGU